GAUGAACGCUGGCGGCGUGCUUAACACAUGCAAGUCGAACGGAAAGGCUCCUGCUUGCAGGGGUACUCGAGUGGCGAACGGGUGAGUAACACGUGGGUGAUCUGCCCUGCACUUCGGGAUAAGCCUGGGAAACUGGGUCUAAUACCGGAUAGGACGAUGGUUUGGAUGCCAUUGUGGAAAGUUUUUCGGUGUGGGAUGAGCUCGCGGUCUAUCAGCUUGUUGGUGGGGUAAUGGCCUACCAAGGCGUCGACGGGUAGCCGGCCUGAGAGGGUGUACGGCCACAUUGGGACUGAGAUACGGCCCAGACUCCUACGGGAGGCAGCAGUGGGGAAUAUUGCACAAUGGGCGCAAGCCUGAUGCAGCGACGCCGCGUGGGGGAUGACGGCCUUCGGGUUGUAAACUCCUUUCGCUAGGGACGAAGCGCAAGUGACGGUACCUGGAGAAGAAGCACCGGCUAACUACGUG
rnacentral:rRNA from 1 species